UACGUAGGGGGCGAGCGUUGUCCGGAUUCAUUGGGCGUAAAGAGCUCGUAGGCGGCUUGGCAAGUCGGGUGUGAAAACUCCAGGCUCAACCUGGAGACGCCACCCGAUACUGCUAUGGCUAGAGUCCGGUAGGGGACCACGGAAUUCCUGGUGUAGCGGUGAAAUGCGCAGAUAUCAGGAGGAACACCGGUGGCGAAGGCGGUGGUCUGGGCCGGAACUGACGCUGAGGAGCGAAAGCGUGGGGAGCAAACAGG
rnacentral:rRNA from 1 species